GACUCCAUGAAGCUGGAUUCGCUAGUAAUCGCGCAUCAGCCAUGGCGCGGUGAAUACGUUCCCGGGCCUUGUACACACCGCCCGUCAAGCCAUGGAAGCCGGGAGUGCCUGAAGUGCGUGAGCGUAAGCAGCGCCCUAAGGUAAAACCGGUGACUGGGGCUAAGUCGUAACAAGGUAAC
rnacentral:rRNA from 1 species